rnacentral:misc_RNA from 1 species
UCCUGCUUAACGCAGGCAGUCCCAGUAGAGUGUCCAACUAAAUGCUGACAACUACUGGUAAGGGUUGCGCUCGUUGCGGGACUUAACCCAACAUCUCACGACACGAGCUGACGACAGCCAUGCAGCACCUGUGAAUCGACCCUUGCGGGCGAGGACAUCUCUGCCACUCUUCCAAUUCAUGUCAAGCCCAGGUAAGGUUCUUCGCGUUGCAUCGAAUUAAACCACAUGCUCCACCGCUUGUGCGGGCCCCCGUCAAUUUCUUUGAGUUUUAAUCUUGCGACCGUACUCCCCAGGCGGGAUACUUAACGCGUUAGCUCCGUCACUAGAGGGGUCAAUACCUCUAACAACAAGUAUCCAUCGUUUACAGCGUGGACUAC